CCCCAUGGUUCCACAGCUGCCUGGUGCUCACUGUGAGUUUAUAGGCAGUUGGAGGCACUUGUGCUCUGGAUCUGGCUCACAGCGACCGAACUAUCCCACUCUGCACAGUACCCCAGUGCAUAAAGAGAAGGUGCUCACACAGUGACAGGUCACAGCCCACAGGAACACUCGCUGGCUAGCCCAUCCACCACCAUCUCAGCGCUGCCCCGGGCUAGGAGACGUCACCCCAAGCAUCAGCACCAUGUAAGAGGACCUGGGGACCCUGCUGGCCUUGGAAAGAGCCGAUAUCAUAGCCAUCAGGGUCUCCACAGGACCCUUGGGAUGAUGCUGACCCGUCACUGUGGAAGCUCACAGACCAUCAGGGCUUUCUGCAGUGAGUCCCCUGGACACUCCUUCAUCUAUCUCAGGGGUGGUUUGCAUUUGCAAGAAUGCCUCUCUGGAAGAUGACCCAUGCCCCCAGGUCAGUACCUCAUCCUCUGGAGCCCUCUGAGGGCCAUGAUGCCCUGGGCUGGAGCUGAGAGACCUAGAAGGCAAACCCGGGAAAUGCGCAAGAAGGGGGCUGGGCCUGGGGACAGAUCCCUGGGCACUCAGAAG
rnacentral:lncRNA from 12 species